CAGCAGCCGCGGUAAUACGAAGGGUGCAAGCGUUAAUCGGAAUUACUGGGCGUAAAGCGUGCGUAGGCGGUUUGUUUAGUCUGUUGUGAAAUCCCCGGGCUCAACCUGGGAAUGGCAAUGGAUACUGGCAAGCUAGAGUGUGUCAGAGGAUGGUGGAAUUCCCGGUGUAGCGGUGAAAUGCGUAGAGAUCGGGAGGAACGUCAGUGGCGAAGGCGGCCAUCUGGGACAACACUGACGCUGAGGCACGAAAGCGUGGGGAGCAAACAAGAUUAGAUACCCCCGUAGUCCCUGUCUCUUAUAC
rnacentral:rRNA from 1 species